rnacentral:lncRNA from 1 species
UUUUUUUUUUUUUUUUGCAUAAUGAAAGAAGUAUGGUGUGAGGACUAGCAGAGUAGGAGUCAGGAGACAGAAUCAUCUGGGUUGUAGUUUUAAAUUUAUUUAUUUAUUUUAUUUGCUUUUAGGGCCAAAUCCCUGGCAUGUGGAAGUUCCCAGACUAGGGGCUGAAACAGCUACAGCUGCCGCCCUACACCACAGCCACAGCAAUGCAGGAUCUGAGCCACGUCUGCACCCUACACCACAGCUCACGGUAAUGCUGGAUCCCUGACCCACUGAGCUAAGCCAGGGAUUGAACCUGCAUCCUCAUGGAUACUACUCAGAUUCAUUUCCACUGUGCCAUGACGGGAACUCCUGUAGUUAACUUUGACUGUUAUAUAAUGUCAGUCAAGGUCAUACACAGGACACCCAAACUGGGUCAUGUGAGGGGAGCUUAUCAAGUGGACUAGUUGAAAAGUUGUGGUUGGAGUUUAAGGAAAACAGAAAGGAUUGGUGCAAUGUUCUCAGGCUGGCCGAAAAGGAAAGCUGUCUGCAUUGCUGGCCAUCAAGGGGCAAGGAGAGGGAGUGAUGAGAAGAACCAGAAAGAGAAGACUGGAUGGAGAGGGCUGAUGUCUCAGCUUGCAGGAGAAAGAGCAAGGUCUUGCAAGACUGAAGGGCACAUGAAGGACAAAGGGAAAAUAUGGAACACAGUCAUUAUCGUGAUAAACUGGGACACAUCUCAACCUCUCUGGGGCUUGAUUUCUUCAUCAUUAUAAUGAGACAAUUGGACCACAUGCAAUUUAUGCUGCCUUCCAGCUCUGACAUUUUAAGAUUUUAUGAAUCCACCCUCCACCCAUGUCUCAAGAGAUUGUCAGAAUAACUUCACAAAAGAAAGUAUAAAAGCCAACCCUGGCCAGGCUGAUGCUGGCAAUGUUUGGCAUCCCUUCUGCACGUACAUGUUGAUGGAAGCAGCAAGGCAGACAUGGGUGGCUGGGGUGGGAGGGCAUCUGUCUGUUCUAGAAGGUAACUCGGGUAUUGUUCAAUGAUCGAAGAAGGCAGCUGGAGAAUAUGAAAUUAUCCUGACAAAGGAUGUCAGGUAACUCAAAACUCCUUGCUCUGUUUUGGAAGCAGAGGGAAAGACAGCUUAGGAGGUACUGCCGAACAUACUUGGUAAGCCCUUUCAGGGAGGCCUGUGUCCUGACAGUUCAAGGCCCAUUCCGAGAACCAGGGCACACAGGCUCCUGGGCCUGGAUGAGGAUGCUGGGGAGUCCUGGCCUUGACUGGGCAAAGGAGGGAGUGGGACUGAGAGCAGGAGAUCAUACCCGCCUGGAUCCUCUGAGGCUCAACCAAGUUGCCUAUCAAGUUUUCCGAGAUACUUAGUUGUUCUUAGCGCUCAAGGUCUCUGGCUGCCCACUUCCUGACAGAGCACUAAGCUUGUCUGAACAGACCCAAAACCGGAGCUGUGUGAGGGCCAUCUUCCCUCUCCAGCUGCUGGGGACCCGGUUUGCUUGUUCACAAAGUCUGAGGGACCUGAUGUGUGAUGAUGUGAAGGAUGCUGGCAUUUUUCUGGCUUUCCCCUCUUCCCUCUACUCAAACACCUGUCAGUGGAAGGACACUAUUACAGAAUCAGCCUUUGGUUUUCCUUGGACUCGUGAUGGGGAAUAUUAACCCUUUAUCACAACAUCUCAGGGCCCCAACACCCAGGGAGCAAAAUGUGUGCAGGUGUGGGCGUGUAUGCGCACCUGUGUGUUAAAAUGUUUAUGCAUGUGUGUGCCAGGAAAGUGAUGUGGUGCAGGCUCACACUGAGCUGGUUCUACUUCACAACUGUCUUUCCUGUGGCCUGAAGAGUAAGAAGUGGGCUAAGGGUUGUGCAUUGAAAGACCAAUACACCUGCUUACUAGGUGUUUGACCUUGGAUGAGUCUUCUGCUCUUAGUUUCCUCAUUUAUAAAAUGGAGCUAAUAAAGAUAGUCAUACAUACCACACCAAGGUGAUGUAAUGAUAAAAUGAGAUCAAUUCCAUAAAAAAGCAAAAGAACUCUGUAAAACAUAAAUUGCUUAAAAUUUCAAGGGGUGAUUAUCGCUCAUCUUAAAUUGUCGUGACAGAAGUACAUCCUUUGAAGGCAAACAGGACACCUCAAGAUGUGUUAACAAACACAGCACCCACAACAGAAUGCACCACGAGUUUCUUAAAAAUAUGUUGGGUGUACAAAAUAUCAGAUACGGACCCAAAGAAUAAUCCAUGUUUUGAAGAAAAGUUCAGUUAAUUGAAUGAAUUAUUUCCCCUCCCUCCCUUUUUGCCUAUUUAAAAAAAAGUCUUAACAUAGAGUUACAAUCAAGGGUAAAGCUCAUCCAUGCACAGAGAACGAACAUAAAUAGUUCUCUGGAGGGUGAAGAAAUCCGACACAUGUAGAGAAAGGAACUUGAAAGAAUAUUUCUGCAAUAGACAUAGAUGCAUGACUUCACAGAUGUUUACAGUUAUAAAUCUCACCUAUUUUCACAGAACAUUUUUCUGAGGCCGUACCUGGCAGCCCUCAUGAAGGCAGUAGAAAAAAAUUGCAGCCUGAUGAGAAUUAGAAGUUACCCACACUGACAAGAAUCCACGGCCACUCUAAGAGAGCUGUGGGAAAAAGCAUUUCACCCCCAAGCCCCCCAUCAUUCCCUCGACACCCACUGAAGGGUUCCACUCAAUGCUCCAACUACUCUGUUGAACAGGAAAGGUCCUUGCCAAGCCCCAUGGGCAUGCACCUGCGUUAUCCCUACCCAGAGACUCCAUCACAACCUUCCUGUGGAGGAGGCUCACGGGCUGAGGGGAGGCUCACGCGUCUCCCUAAGAGGUGGUCUGGCUUGAGUUCAAGUGUGCCAGCUACGCUGAGGACCAGGAGAGCCUGGCUCACCAUUGGCCUAAGCUGCAAAUGGGGCUGCCCUUCCUUUUGCAGUCCCCUUGAACUACUGAAAAUCACCAGCCAUCCCAGCCCCACACAGCUGAGGCCUUCUCCAGCUGUGAAGGAAAAACAUAAUGGGCAAUAUCUGCUCUCUCCCUCCUCCCUUUUUUCUCCCUUCCCUGUAGACAGACUCAGCAUGAGGUUCCUGAGGAAUUAGUUGCUGGAGGACGCCUCCCCCGCUGGCAGCCAAAUGCCAACGGCAAGUCCUGCCCAUGUAAUGUGUCUGACAUUUCUGCAUCUCUCUGGGUUAACAUUGCUUGACACAUACUUUUUAAAAAUACCUCUUAAAAAGGUUUGUGUGUGUGUGUGUGUGUACGCAUGAUUUCUGUUGUUUCAAGGCAUCGCUAGCUGUAUUUAUUAUUAUUUAGAAAUUAUUCUCUUAGUCGCCGACACAUCUCUGCUUUGGCAUUUCUACUUAGGCAGAAGUAAUUGGUUUCAGAAGGCUGGAAAUCCUUAUUUGAAACCAUGUGCACACUCCUGUUGAUGGAUGCCAUAAAAUGCUCAAAUAUCAUCUUCCCUCAAGUAAAA